GAUGAACGCUAGCGGGAGGCCUAACACAUGCAAGCCGAGCGGUAGAGUCUCUUCGGAGCCUUGAGAGCGGCGCACGGGUGCGGAACACGUGUGCAACCUGCCUUUAUCUGGGGGAUAGCCUUUCGAAGGGAAGAUUAAUACCCCAUAAUAUACUGGAUGGCAUCAUCUGGUAUUGAAAACUCCGGUGGAUAGAGAUGGGCACGCGCAAGAUUAGAUAGUUGGUGAGGUAACGGCUCACCAAGUCAGCGAUCUUUAGGGGGCCUGAGAGGGUGAUCCCCCACACUGGUACUGAGACACGGACCAGACUCCUACGGGAGGCAGCAGUGAGGAAUAUUGGAGAAGGGGUGAGAGCCUGAUCCAGCCAUCCCGCGUGAAGGACGACGGCCCUAGGGGUUGUAAACUUCUUUUGGAUAGGGAUAAACCUAGAUACGUGUAUCUAGCUGAAGGUACUAUACGAAUAAGCACCGGCUAACUCCGUG
rnacentral:rRNA from 1 species